rnacentral:rRNA from 1 species
GCGGCGUGCUUAACACAUGCAAGUCGAACGAGAAAGGGGCUUCGGCCCUGAGUAGAGUGGCGCACGGGUGAGUAACGCGUAAGUAACCUGCCCUUCUAUCUGGGAUAACAGUUCGAAAGGGCUGCUAAUACCGGAUAUUCUUGCCGGCCAUAAGGUUGGUAAGGAAAGGUGACCUCUUCUUGAAAGUUACCGUAGAGGGAGGGGCUUGCGUACCAUUAGCUAGUUGGUGGGGUAACGGCUUACCAAGGCGACGAUGGUUAGCGGGUUUGAGAGGAUGAUCCGCCACACUGGAACUGAAACACGGACCAGACUCCUACGGGAGGCAGCAGUGAGGAAUAUUGCGCAAUGGGGGCAACCCUGACGCAGCGACGCCGCGUGAGUGAAGAAGGCCUUCGGGUUGUAAAGCUCUGUCGGAAGGGAAGAACGGUUCAGGUGUUAAUACCAUCUGGAUUUGACGGUACCUUCAAAGGAAGCACCGGCUAACUCCGUGCCAGCAGCCGCGGUAAUACGGAGGGUGCGAGCGUUAAUCGGAAUUACUGGGCGUAAAGGGCGCGUAGGCGGCCCUGCAAGUCAGUUGUGAAAGCCCACGGCUCAACCGUGGAUGUGCAAUU